rnacentral:rRNA from 1 species
CGCUAGCGGCAGCCUAACACAUGCAAGUCGAGGGAGAGGUUACCUUCGGGUAACCAAAACCGGCGCACGGGUGCGUAACGCGUAUACAAUCUGCCUUUCACAUAGGGAUAGCCCGAAGAAAUUUGGAUUAAUACCUAAUGGUAUAUAAGAGCGGCAUCGUUUUUAUAUUAAAGCUACGGUGGUGAAAGAUGAGUAUGCGUUCUAUUAGCUAGUUGGAGAGGUAACGGCUCCCCAAGGCGACGAUAGAUAGGGGUUCUGAGAGGGAUGUCCCCCACACUGGUUCUGAGAUACGGACCAGACUCCUACGGGAGGCAGCAGUGAGGAAUAUUGGACAAUGGUCGGAAGACUGAUCCAGCCAUGCCGCGUGCAGGAUGAAGGUCCUAUGGAUUGUAAACUGCUUUUGUAAGGGAAGAAUAAGGAGUACGUGUACUUUGAUGACGGUACCUUACGAAUAAGCAUCGGCUAACUCCGUGCCAGCAGCCGCGGUAAUACGGAGGAUGCGAGCGUUAUCCGGAAUCAUUGGGUUUAAAGGGUCCGUAGGCGGGCUGAUAAGUCAGAGGUGAAAGCGCUUAGCUCAACUAAGCAACUGCCUUUGAAACUGUCAGUCUUGAAUGAUUGUGAAGUAGUUGGAAUGUGUAGUGUAGCGGUGAAAUGCUUAGAUAUUACACAGAACACCGAUAGCGAAGGCAUAUUACUAACAAUUUAUUGACGCUGAUGGACGAAAGCGUGGGGAGCGAACAGGAUUAGAUACCCUGGUAGUCCACGCUGUAAACGAUGGAUACUAGCUGUUUGCAGCAAUCUGAGUGGCUAAGCGGAAGUGAUAAGUAUCCC